UACGUAGGGUGCAAGCGUUGUCCGGAAUUAUUGGGCGUAAAGGGCUCGUAGGCGGUCCAUCGCGUCGGGAGUGAAAAGCUGGGGCUUAACCCCAGUCCUGCUUCCGAUACGGGUGGACUAGAGGUAGGUAGGGGAGAUCGGAAUUCCCGGUGUAGCGGUGAAAUGCGCAGAUAUCGGGAAGAACACCCGUGGCGAAGGCGGUUCUCUGGGACGGUACUGACGCUGAGACGCGAAAGCGUGGGGAGCGAACAGG
rnacentral:rRNA from 1 species